rnacentral:rRNA from 1 species
UACAGAGGUCUCAAGCGUUGUUCGGAUUCAUUGGGCGUAAAGGGUGUGUAGGCGGCGCCGUAAGUCGGGUGUGAAAUUUCGGAGCUUAACUCCGAAACUGCAUUCGAUACUGCGGUGCUUGAGGACUGGAGAGGAGACUGGAAUUCAUGGUGUAGCAGUGAAAUGCGUAGAGAUCAGGAGGAAGACCAGUGGCGAAGGCGGGUCUCUGGACAGUUCCUGACACUGAGACACGAAGGCCAGGGGAGCAAACGGG